AAAUUCUUUUCUUCAGGCUGAAAUAAACACACACUUUCACAUUGACGUUGGUAAUCAAUACAAAAUCCAUCAAAAUCCAAGCAGAAUGUUCACUGGAAUGUUUGAGACUGGAAUGAAGACAUUGACAGGAAACUCAACAACUCCAUAUAGAAGAUAGAGUAUGGCAGACACUACAGGAAAGAGCCU